AGAGUUUGAUCCUGGCUCAGGAUGAACGCUAGCUACAGGCUUAACACAUGCAAGUCGAGGGGCAUCAGGAAGAAAGCUUGCUUUCUUUGCUGGCGACCGGCGCACGGGUGAGUAACACGUAUCCAACCUGCCCUUUACUCGGGGAUAGCCUUUCGAAAGAAAGAUUAAUACCCGAUAGCAUAAUGAUUCCGCAUGGUUUCAUUAUUAAAGGAUUCCGGUAAAGGAUGGGGAUGCGUUCCAUUAGGUUGUUGGUGAGGUAACGGCUCACCAAGUCUUCGAUGGAUAGGGGUUCUGAGAGGAAGGUCCCCCACAUUGGAACUGAGACACGGUCCAAACUCCUACGGGAGGCAGCAGUGAGGAAUAUUGGUCAAUGGGCGCUAGCCUGAACCAGCCAAGUAGCGUGAAGGAUGAAGGCUCUAUGGGUCGUAAACUUCUUUUAUAUAAGAAUAAAGUGCAGUAUGUAUACUGUUUUGUAUGUAUUAUAUGAAUAAGGAUCGGCUAACUCCGUGCCAGCAGCCGCGGUAAUACGGAGGAUCCGAGCGUUAUCCGGAUUUAUUGGGUUUAAAGGGAGCGUAGGUGGACUGGUAAGUCAGUUGUGAAAGUUUGCGGCUCAACCGUAAAAUUGCAGUUGAUACUGUCAGUCUUGAGUACAGUAGAGGUGGGCGGAAUUCGUGGUGUAGCGGUGAAAUGCUUAGAUAUCACGAAGAACUCCGAUUGCGAAGGCAGCUCACUGGACUGCAACUGACACUGAUGCUCGAAAGUGUGGGUAUCAAACAGGAUUAGAUACCCUGGUAGUCCACACAGUAAACGAUGAAUACUCGCUGUUUGCGAUAUACAGUAAGCGGCCAAGCGAAAGCAUUAAGUAUUCCACCUGGGGAGUACGCCGGCAACGGUGAAACUCAAAGGAAUUGACGG
rnacentral:rRNA from 1 species